GCUGGGAUCUCCUAGCCUGGUAUGGAGCCAGCCUGCUAAGCUGGUGUGCCUAAGCACGCGGGGGUUCGAAUCCCCCUCCCAGCGCCA
rnacentral:tRNA from 1 species